rnacentral:tRNA from 1 species
GGGGAUUAGUUUAACGGUAGAAUGCGCGGCUGGGGGCCGUGCGGAGACAGUUCGACCCUGUCAUCCCCG